AGAGUUGAUCAUGGCUCAGGAUGAACGCUAGCGACAGGCUAACACAUGCAAGUCGAGGGGCAUCACGGGAGUAGCAAUACAACUGGUGGCGACCGGCGCACGGGUGAGUAACGCGUAUGCAACCUACCUAUCAGAGGGGAAUAACCCGGCGAAAGUCGGACUAAUACCGCAUAAAACAGGGGCACCGCAUGGUGAUAUUUGUUAAAGAAAUUCGCUGAUAGAUGGGCAUGCGUUCCAUUAGGUAGUUGGUGAGGUAACGGCUCACCAAGCCGACGAUGGAUAGGGGAACUGAGAGGUUGGUCCCCCACACUGGUACUGAGACACGGACCAGACUCCUACGGGAGGCAGCAGUGAGGAAUAUUGGUCAAUGGGCGGGAGCCUGAACCAGCCAAGUCGCGUGAAGGAAGAAGGAUCUAUGGUUCGUAAACUUCUUUUGCAGGGGAAUAAAGUGCAGGACGUGUCCUGUUUUGUAUGUACCCUGAGAAUAAGGAUCGGCUAACUCCGUGCCAGCCGCCGC
rnacentral:rRNA from 1 species